rnacentral:rRNA from 1 species
AUUGAACGCUGGCGGCAUGCCUUACACAUGCAAGUCGAACGGCAGCACGGGUGCUUGCACCUGGUGGCGAGUGGCGAACGGGUGAGUAAUAUAUCGGAACAUACCCUAGAGUGGGGGAUAACGUAGCGAAAGUUACGCUAAUACCGCAUACGAACUAAGGUUGAAAGUGGGGGAUCGCAAGACCUCAUGCUCAUGGAGUGGCCGAUAUCUGAUUAGCUAGUUGGUGAGGUAAAGGCUCACCAAGGCGACGAUCAGUAGCUGGUUUGAGAGAACGACCGGCCACACUGGAACUGAGACACGGUCCAGACUCCUACGGGAGGCAGCAGUGGGGAAUUUUGGACAAUGGGGGCAACCCUGAUCCAGCAAUGCCGGGUGAGUGAAGAAGGCCCUCGGGUUGUAAAGCUCUUUUGUCAGGGAAGAAACGGUCUACUCUAAUACAGUGGGCUAAUGACGGUACCUGAAGAAUAAGCACCGGCUAACUACGUGCCAGCCGCCGCCGUAA